rfam:Sucra jujuba nucleopolyhedrovirus isolate 473, complete genome.
CACUUUACGGUGCAAAUAUUGGCCGAUAUACUACGAUCUGAUGUUUGCGGUAUGAUAUUUAGUUCAAUAUACGAUCAAUAUACUACAUUGUCGGGUUCAUAUACUACGAUUGCGCCCAAAUAUACCUUCGAAAGUGUAAAAUCGUCAAAUUAUAUUGGUAAAAACGACACUAAAUCAUUCGAUAUACCAAUUUC